CCUGUGGAGAGUUACAGCAAACGUGGGUAGCUUUAAGCAAAAACGGAUUCGAUGAAACAGGAC
rnacentral:ncRNA from 1 species